GUAUUUCACGCAUAAUAAAAGAAGAACAGCUUAAGCAUGAGAGCAGAACAAGAACUUCAUUAAAAGAAAAGCACAUUACAACACGUUACAAAGGCCUACACUACGGAAUGAAAGACUAUCCUUAGAGAAUUUACAUAUCCAGGUACUUCCUCAUCUACGACUAUCACCUACCCUAUUAUUCUAGUCUUCAGCUCGGAGGACUUCUCGUAGCUCGGAAUGAGAGUUUUUCGGAAAAGGCCAAGAUCUGUCUCGCUAUUACAGGGGAACUGAACAAGUUGAUUCCCAUAAGCAUUUCUCACUGUUCCCCUGGGCAAACGUCCGGUUACCCAAAUGUGAUGCACGGUACAUUCGAACAAGCUCAGAUAUGGUAUGCCGGCCGUGCACCACACAUGAAAAACAUAAGUCUUCGAGGCUAUGACCCCGAAGAGAUCGCGAAGUACACAUUCUAAAAAAUCGCUGGAGACCUGACUGAGUACAGCAGAUCCCAGCCUCAUGUAAUACUGGUACUUCACACCAAAGGGAAUAAUAAUACUGAUACUUCACACCAAAAAGAACAACAAGCUGAGCGCCGACGCCACUCCCGUUUAUAUCAAAAGAGGACAACAGUGGCAUCGAGGAAAUUCCCUGUUUCUCUGUGGAAAAAGGCGAAGUUAGAUCAAACCCCUCAACAGUCCAGAACUUCUCUGGAGCCUGGGCAACAAGCAGAAGAGGAGGCCAGCCAGACAACCUGGGUAAAGCAGCUUUAGUGGCUUGCUGGAUGGUCCCGCCUUUCGCCUGCCAUACCCGAAGGAUCUCCAAUGCACCAUCCAGACGCCUUAAAGGUAACAUCAAAUUUUCAAGAAUUUUGAACUGAUCCAUUUUUAUUUCAGGAACUGCAAAAAGUUUCAAAACAGACAGUGAUAAGUCAGAAACAGUUCUCCCCUAAGAUGAUAAGAGCAAAAUCACAGCAAACCUCUGGGGCACAAGGCGAUCUGCUUGAAGAAGGCGUCGAAUAGACAUGCCACAAAUAAAACAAGGAUUUUUCAUUUCAACAGAAGGCUCAAGAAUGGAGAAAAGCUGACGCUGAUAUAUACCCGGAGUCUGAGGACUUAGCACAGGGCAGAACUACAUUAGACUCUAAGUUAAUGGUGUCAGAUUUCUAAAAGAUAUUCACAGAAAAGGAAAGAAAGGAGAUGUCCAGAUAAUGAUGACAAGAAAGUAAAGGCGGCAGAGGACAGGAAGAAUAGAAAAAAGACAGAAAGAGGAAAGAGCAGAUAGAAUUCAGAAACUGUGCAACGACUGAAAGACGAAAGGAUGUUAUUAAGGCACCUGAACCCGAACAGACGCGAUCAUAAUAGUUCUUGGUAUUCACCCCCUCGGCAGUUGGAGCAAUAACUGCCGAGAAGGUGAAGGGGCAAUUGAUGACCGCUGGAUUCCUUCACCCCGGACUAGGGGCUUGACCACGGCCCAAGGCCCAUGACGUAGAGGCCCACACAUCUGAUAUACAGAACGAGCCUGGCUCAUCCGACCCUCAAGGCCGGGCUCGACCCAUCUUCUUCACUCAAGCCGGCCUGGCCCACACGAAGCAGGCCCUCUCCAUUCAGGCUUAGCGUCUGGCCCCAACUCGCGGCCCAGCCUAGGAUCCAGAGAAAUAUUCACCAAACAGCCUGGCAAAUCCGCUCGAACGUACGCACGAGGAGAAUCAGAGGCCGUUACGCAUGGAGCAGGCAGCUGAUACCCUAGUACCUCCGAAUCCGCAUGGCAGAGACGCGUGGCCCAAUCCUGGAGAGACCUUUACACGUCACCAGCAAGCAAGACAAUGUAUAAAAGAGGAGUCCCCUCCUCAGAAAGCUUAAGCCUUAAUCUGUAAUACAAAACCCUUGUAAAACCCUAUUCUAUUGGAUCUCAGAUCAUCAGCAGGUAAGGACCAGCAAAAGAGUCAGACUAAUGAAGUUUAGAUCUGGAUUAUCAUUUUUGAAUGUUUUCACUUAGAGAACUCAUCUCUUCAUGCUUAGUCCCAGUAUAUUAUUUCUAACUUUUCCUUAGUGUUCUGUAGCUUAGAGAAUAGAGAAUGAUCCAUAAACUGUAGGCUCUAUAGAGUUCCAUGUUAGGUCUAACUCACUAGCAUGAGAAAUCUGGUGCAUUGCCAUUUGACAUGAGAGGCUACCUAGUUAUUUAUUAGAUUAGGUGAACUACACGUGGAAAACAACAGGAGGUAACAAUCAAGACAUUUUCAUUGUUGAAAAUCCGCUAGCUGUUGCAUGUCCAUACAUGCUUGCCAUUAAUAAUAUUGUAUAUUUCUUUCAUGAUCUUGUAUUCAGUCAAUCCUUCCUAACAGCUUGAUGUAACAUUAAUCACCAAUCACAUGUUUGGUCAAGGUAUGAGUUCAAGCUGCAGCGCACUAGGCUUGGAAGAAGAAGAAAAAAAGGCAAAUUAAAUUCCUUGUGACAUUAUUUUAAUAUUAUUUAUUACAAUUUGUGUCCUAGAUAGAGUUAAGACAGAAGAAAAUAUCAGUUAGGAUAAGGAUCAUAAUAAUGGCCUUAACUGGGAGUGGAUUAUUGAGGGAGUUUUCAUUUUCAUAUCUACCUUUUGAGGUGGUCUUUAAUGCAAAUUUCUGCAGGUAUAAUGAAAGUCAAGGAUCUCACAACUGAGUGGAGAGAUGCUUUUGACCAUUAAGCUAAACAAGUUACCUUGUAUGUAUGGGAAAGGAGAGAAGAACCUUUGGAAAUACCAGGCACUUAUGCUUUGCAUCACACCACCUAACAUUCAAACUGGAAGUCUAUCAGCCAAACAAAAGCAUCUUUGGAGGAUAAAAUUGAAGUCUAAGGACUUGUGGAUAAUCAUAAAACUUUUUGGUAAUAGUUAUUAAACUCGAAUCCUUAGCAUAUCGUAUGCUUCCAUCUCUAUUACCUCUAUACCCUGUUUGUCUUGUUC